CAAGAUCUGUUUUAGUUUUUCGACGCUGCAUGUUUCUGUUUGAGUUUUGGUGAUUUCAGAUAGUUUCUGGUAGUUUUCCCAGUCAAAAUAAUUUCGGAUGUGGUUAUACUUAAUGCACGCUAGUAAGGCGUGUUCGCCAACCAAUAAUCGGAGAAAUCAUGGCCGGCUAAGACUCUGUUCAAAAGGCGAAUUUCUUCCCCAUCGAAGUCUGAGAGCCAGUACCAAGUUUCUGACGGCAUCGGUCCAAAGUAGUUUAUUUACUACUACCGCAUAUUUGAUUCUACACCUUCUUUGGCUAAACGGUCUGCUUGAUCAUUACCUGAAACGCCAACAUGUCCCGGGAUCCAUUGGAGGGUUGUUCCGGUCUUCUGCAGUUCGCAACAAAUGUCUCCAGUCAGUUGGUCCCAGUUUUUCUCUUCUUGGCAAGACAUUAGCAUUCGGCAUGCAGCUUGAGAGUCGGUAAGUAUUACGUUCUUUUCUAUUUCCAAAUUGCCUAUUUCUUUCAAAGCCAUUUGGAUAGCAAUUAAUU